GAAAAUUCCCAUCAGAAACGAAACUUAAACGCCACGAGGCAAUAUCCUAGUCAUCCAAAUGGAAAGUCGUGUUCGAGUCCGAGUCUAUGAGCCGCCAACCGAGUCAAAUCUCUCGCGUUUAUCACGCGUUCCUUCACCCAACACUCACUCACACUCAAAAUUCACCUUCUUAGAAGAUGCACAUGCUCCUAGGCCCUAGCUCCUAACUCUUCUUCUAUGUCACCCCAAACCAAACCCACCCUAUAAAUAUCACCCUAUUGCCCACUUUUCCUCUCAAAAUAAAAAGUCUUUGAAUUCCUCCCAAUUACUCCAAAAAAUUCUUUAUUCAUCUCCCAUUUAUUCUUCUCCAAUUCCCAAUUGAAAAUGAAUUCCAUGAGAUUGUACGCCCUCCCAGUCAUUGGCUUCAUGUUCUUGGCACUUUUGCGACUCAGCCAUGCGCAGUCCUUGGCUCCUUCUCCUGCACCCCAGGGCCCAACCAGCGAUGGCGCAGCAAUAGAUCAAGGGAUUGCUUACUUCCUUCUACUCCUGGCCCUUGCAAUCACAUACCUCUUCCAUUGAUUUUAUUUAUUUAAAUUUUGUGUCGUUAAUUAGGAUAAUUAAUAGAAAUUCUUUAUGUACUUUCUCCUAGUAUUCAAUAUAGAGAUCUUGUGUAUCAAAAAAAAAAAAAAAAUGGAGAUCUUGGAGCAAUUUUACACUGCUUUGAUUCUUGUGUAAUAUAAAGUAAUAAAGAAAUGAAUUAAUAUUAA